AUCUUUGCGCUUGGGGCAAUGACGCAGUAAGUGAGGUGAAACCGAGACGCGUCAAUUGCUGGUUGAAACUAUUUCUAUAUAUAUAUAUAUAUAUAUAUAACACAAGUUACAAAUGUGUGGCAAGUUUUGACAUCCCACAAGAUGUG
rfam:Marchantia polymorpha subsp. polymorpha scaffold3856, whole genome shotgun sequence.